UACGGGGGGGGCAAGCGUUGUUCGGAAUUACUGGGCGUAAAGGGCUCGUAGGCGGCCAUCUAAGUCGGAUGUGAAAUCCCCAGGCUUAACCUGGGAACUGCAUCCGAUACUGGAUGGCUUGAAUUCGGGAGAGGGAUGCAGAAUUCCAGGUGUAGCGGUGAAAUGCGUAGAUAUCUGGAGGAAUACCGGUGGCGAAGGCGGCAUCCUGGACCGAGAUUGACGCUGAUGAGCGAAAGCGUGGGGAGCAAACAGG
rnacentral:rRNA from 1 species